UACGAAGGGGGGCUAGCGUUGCUCGGAAUUACUGGGGCGUAAAGGGCGCGUAGGCGGAUAUUUAAGUUGGGGGGUGAAAUCCCCGGGGCUCAACCUCGGAAUUGCCUUCAAAACUGGAUAUCUUGAGUUCGGGGAGAGGUGAGUGGAACUCCGAGUGUAGAGGUGAAAUUCGUAGAUAUUCGGAAGAACACCAGUGGCGAAGGCGACUCACUGGCCCGAUACUGACGCUGAGGCGCGAAAGCGUGGGGAGCAAACAGG
rnacentral:rRNA from 1 species